GGCUGGUACGAAGGUAGUGAGUUAUCUCAAUUGAUUGUUCACAGUCAGUUACAGAUUGAACUUCUUGUUCUACUCUUUCCCCCUUCUCACUACUGCACUUGACUAGUCUUAU
rnacentral:Y_RNA from 1 species